AGCAGCCGCAGUAAUUCCAGCUCCAAUAGCGUAUAUUAAAGUUGUUGCAGUUAAAAAGCUCGUAGUUGAAUUUCGGGGUUAGUAGGUUGGUCAUGCCUCUGGUAUGUACUGGUCUCACUGAUUCCUCCUUCCUGAUGAGCCGUAAUGCCAUUAAUUUGGUGUUGCGGGGAAUUUGGACUGUUACUUUGAAAAAUUAGAGUGUUUAAAGCAAGCUAACGCUUGAAUACAUUAGCAUGGAAUAAUGAAAUAGGACGUUCGAUCCUAUUUUGUUGGUUUCUAGGAUUGACGUAAUGAUUAAUAGGGAUAGUUGGGGGCAUUAGUAUUCAAUUGUCAGAGGUGAAAUUCUUGGAUUUAUUGAAGACUAACUACUGCGAAAGCAUUUGCCAAGGAUGUUUUCAUUAAUCAAGAACGAAAGUUAGGGGAUCGAAGACGAUCAGAUACCGUCGUAGUCUUAACCAUAAACUAUGCCGACUAGGGAUCGGAUGAUGUUAAUUUUUUAAUGACUCAUUCGGCGCCUUAC
rnacentral:rRNA from 1 species